rnacentral:rRNA from 1 species
GUCGUACGCUUCUUUUUCCACCGGAGCUUGCUCCACCGGAAAAAGAAGAGUGGCGAACGGGUGAGUAACACGUGGGUAACCUGCCCAUCAGAAGGGGAUAACACUUGGAAACAGGUGCUAAUACCGUAUAACAAUCGAAACCGCAUGGUUUUGAUUUGAAAGGCGCUUUCGGGUGUCGCUGAUGGAUGGACCCGCGGUGCAUUAGCUAGUUGGUGAGGUAACGGCUCACCAAGGCCACGAUGCAUAGCCGACCUGAGAGGGUGAUCGGCCACAUUGGGACUGAGACACGGCCCAAACUCCUACGGGAGGCAGCAGUAGGGAAUCUUCGGCAAUGGACGAAAGUCUGACCGAGCAACGCCGCGUGAGUGAAGAAGGUUUUCGGAUCGUAAAACUCUGUUGUUAGAGAAGAACAAGGAUGAGAGUAACUGUUCAUCCCUUGACGGUAUCUAACCAGAAAGCCACGGCUAACUACGUGCCAGCAGCCGCGGUAAUACGUAGGUGGCAAGCGUUGUCCGGAUUUAUUGGGCGUAAAGCGAGCGCAGGCGGUUUCUUAAGUCUGAUGUGAAAGCCCCCGGCUCAACCGGGGAGGGUCAUUGGAAACUGGGAGACUUGAGUGCAGAAGAGGAGAGUGGAAUUCCAUGUGUAGCGGUGAAAUGCGUAGAUAUAUGGAGGAACACCAGUGGCGAAGGCGGCUCUCUGGUCUGUAACUGACGCUGAGGCUCGAAAGCGUGGGGAGCAAACAGGAUUAGAUACCCUGGUAGUCCACGCCGUAAACGAUGAGUGCUAAGUGUUGGAGGGUUUCCGCCCUUCAGUGCUGCAGCUAACGCAUUAAGCACUCCGCCUGGGGAGUACGACCGCAAGGUUGAAACUCAAAGGGAUUGACGGGGGCCCGCACAGCGGUGAAGCAUGUGAUUAAUUUCGAAGCAACGCGAAGAACCUUACCAGGUCUGGACAUCCUUUGACCACUCUAGAGAUAGAGCUUCCCCUUCGGGGGCAAAGUGACAGGUGGUGCAUGGUUGUCGUCAGCUCGUGUCGUGAGAUGUUGGGUUAAGUCCCGCAACGAGCGCAACCCUUAUUGUUAGUUGCCAUCAUUUAGUUGGGCACUCUAGCAAGACUGCCGGUGACAAACCGGAGGAAGGUGGGGAUGACGUCAAAUCAUCAUGCCCCUUAUGACCUGGGCUACACACGUGCUACAAUGGGAAGUACAACGAGUCGCGAAGUCGCGAGGCUAAGCUAAUCUCUUAAAGCUUCUCUCAGUUCGGAUUGUAGGCUGCAACUCGCCUACAUGAAGCCGGAAUCGCUAGUAAUCGCGGAUCAGCACGCCGCGGUGAAUACGUUCCCGGGCCUUGUACACACCGCCCGUCACACCACGAGAGUUUGUAACACCCGAAGUCGGUGAGGUAACCUUUUGGAGCCAGCCGCCUAAGGUGGGAUAG